UCCACCCUAAUUACCUAUAACCGCCUAAUUACAUUGUUAUAUAUAACUAGAAAGUGGUUACUUAAUUCGUUAGUAAAAAACAAAAACAAAAAAACCAUGGCUCAUACAUGUCUGACCGCCAUGGUGUCCUCCGUCACAGUCCCACCACCCUAUCUGACCACCACCUCCUACGCCAAACCACCGUCUUACUUCUUCAGCAACCUCAAAAUCCUUCUCCUCAAAGCACCCCUUUCAGCUUCUCGACAAAGAACCCCCAAUUUCACUAGGUAUAAUAUGUAAUUACGAGUUCCUUUUUUCUUGUGUUUAUGAUCGAGCUAGCUUCUGUAUUUUAUUCAGGUGACUGAUAACCUUGUGGAUGGCCCCAUAAUUGGAGCCGUUCGAUCACUGUGAAUUGCUACAACGAUCAAGUAGUAGACGGGGAUGAAGAUGAAGAAUAUGAUCGGAGUUUGGAUCUGUUAGUUAGAUUUGUUCAAAACGUAUUUAGAAAGAUUUCUAAACGAGCAAGGAAAGCCGUUCGAUCAGUUUUGCCUGUCUUCAUCCCUAGUAAUCUGGUGGGAUUAUCUGUUAAUGGUGUCCUGAUACUGGCAUUGUUGUGGGUUUUAACGGCAUUUCUCGAGGUAAUUCAUCAUUUGAUACACCUAUGUUUAAAUCGAGUAGUUAGUCACUUUACACUUUCUAGUUAAUUUGCUAGCUUGGAUAUCAGCAAUUCGACUAUUUAUACAAAAGUAAUUAGCAAAAAUCAGCAACGUUUCAACUAUUUAUAAGCAAAAAAUUAGCAAUUCAUGUUCAUAUGUUUACCAGCAACUGAACUAACUUUUCAGUUUUUGUGAAGUAUGAGGACUAAAUUUUGAUAAACUAAUGGGAUUAGCUGCUUAGUUUUCAUAGAGGGAUAGGGUAAACUAAUGUGCAGCUGUAAUUACAUAUAUGGAAAAUAUUGAUUUUAAUAGUGUUAGAGUCGGAUAAUGGAAUAGGAUAAACUAAGUUAUAAACCAAAAGGGAUGAUUGGUUCAGUAGACUGAAAUGAAAUACUGUUAAACUGAUAGAAUAAAUCUACAUCUAUUGGUGGAAAACCUUGGCUGUUCUGGCUGGGAAUUCAAUAUGCUUUCUUAAGUUUUUGUGUUCAACAUUUUUAUUCUGGGUUGGUCUUUUUAUUAGUUCUGUUAACUUGGUUGGAAAUUUGGGCUUUUAGUUAUUUACAGUAUGUGUGUUUUGCGAACCAAUCGGCAACUUUCAGUUAGUUAUAUACAGAGGGAGGGUGGAUAUGGCCUCCUGAUAGCUUUGAGGUAAUAUUAAUUUUCAAAAUUAUCUUGGCCGAAAACUGAGAAGCGAAUGCUUACGGUUUCCUAAUUUCAUUUCAAUUGAUAAAGUGAAAGCGAAGUGUCCAUUGCUCUAGGACCUAUGCUGGUUAAUAUCCUUGUGCAGAUGACAGUAUCUUUGCAGGGGAAAUCAGCUCCUCAUCAUUUGUGGUUGUUUUACUUGAAAUAGAAUUCAUUGAGCAUUGAUGGUAAAAGUUUCCUAGAAAUAAAUUGGGGUUGUUUUACUUGAAAUUGAAUUUGAAUUCAUAGAGCAUUGAUAAUAGAAGUUUCCUUAUAAUGUUAUUUACUUGGAACUUAUCAAGCCGAAGUUUUAGGUCUUGUGUAAAAAAACGAACCAGAUUUAUUUGUAUAUGUGUAGAUGAGGUUGUGUCAGCAAAGAUCGAGACCCUAAGACCUUGAGCGCCCAAGAAUCGUGUGGACUAGUUAGUUUGUUAAGUUAUUUAGUUUAGUACUUGCAAUAAUUGGUUCUAAUUAGACUGUUGAUGUAGCUUCUUCUGUUCUGCCGCUUGUUUUCUUUUAACACAUUUUGAUCUAGAAUAGGUCAUCUGAGCUCUUGGAAGUCUCAUGUUUGUAAGCAUCUUACUCAUACAUGGCAUUUAGACUGUAUUGUGCAUGCAAGAAAGCCGUGACAGAAGAAUCGAUGAACUUGUUGAUGACCAACGCAUGUGGAGUGGUGCACAGCCUGCCACUUGAUUUGUAGGUGAGAACAUUGGGAGGGAUACAAUACAAUAUACACACAUAGCAGCCUUGUUAAAGAAAUGCCUUCCUUUUAGCCAACAAUCAAGUUGUCGAGUGCUUUAGCUUAUUCCCAAAUUGGAUGCCUAACAUCAGAAUCAUAGAAUAAAAAUAGCCUCAGUAAUCAAGUUCAGUCAAGUUCGAAAUAGUAAGGAUUCGAGUUCGAAAUUAGAAGUUAAAGUGUUUGAAUAUUGAAAUAAGGUUUGAGCUCGAAAUUAAGCUUGUGGACCACUUAAAUCGAUCGAUAAUGAAUUUCAUUUUUUCCGGAUAACAAAAAAUAUAUUAUAUUUUAUAUCAAUACACCAAGAAAAAACUAAAAGUAACAUACAUCAAUUACAGAUAUUGAUUUUUUUAAAUAAUUUUCUAAACUUAUUUUUCAAUCUUCAAUUUUAGGAAUUAUGACAAUUUUCAGUAUAAAAAUAAAAAAUUAAAUUCAAAACUUCAUUUUCGAAAAUUUUAAAUAUAAAAUCAUAAUGUUAUUGUUUCAUUUCAGACAAUUUCAAUAGAACUUUAAAUAAAACAAAAUUCUCUGAACAUUGUUUAGACCAUCCGCAAGAUUCAAACCCCAAAUUCUUACUAACCAAUACAACAAACAUGGGUUUUUCAUUCAUUAUGUCUAAUUUUAGAUAAAUUUCCUAAGAAAAUGUACAUAAAAAGACAUUAAGAAACAGAGUUGAAAGGUUCAUAUGUACUGAGAUCCUUGACAAUUGUAGCAAUGGAGCCAGCUGCUGCAAGAACUGAUAUAAUCAGGCAAAGCAACACCAAGAAGUUUAACCAUAUCCAUUUCCAACUAAAGGCUUGGAUCUGUUCUCUCGAUAUGUGCAUUUGGAUCGGGAAAUACACUGUCAGCGGCCAAAACGAAGCGGCACCCAGGAAGCCGAGGAUUCCAUUGAAGAACGGUAGAAGCAUCGCCAGCACGAUGGUCAGUAUCACGUAACCUGUUCGCCACACAACCCUGAAAGCACUGAAACUGUAAACCCCAAACAAUGGAAGCUUAAUUGGUGGACUUUCUUUGAUGAAACUGCUGUUUGGCCAUCGGUUGAAGCACCUGUCUUCCACCUGUUUGAAAAUUGGCUGACAGAAUACCUAUGAAGAAAACCAUCAUGAUUUUGCUGAAGAUAUGGGGAUAUUUUAUUGUGUGUUGUUUGUAGGUGAUGGUAAUGGGGGUGUUUUUACCUGGUAAGCUCCUAUAAGAUGUACAAUGAUGAAUACAUUAGCCAUGUCGAUAAGCCAGUACGGUUCGUAAAAGCCAAACCCUGUUAGGAAAUUGCCUGGUGUGUUGUUGCCUAAUGCUGCGUAACCCAGAGCACCACAUGAAACGUAGAAUAUGGUGGUGACCGAGACGCCCACUGAGGUUGCCUUCUUCAUUGAUUCAUUUUCUGGUGGAUUUGGUUUCAGUGUAUCCUGCAAUUCCAUGCCAAUUACAUAAAUGGAAGUCUUUUCUUUUAUUGAAAAGGAAAAGGGUACCAUUGAAACCAGGAGGACUUGCCUGUAUCUCGACGAGUACAGUUGAGAAAGCAUAAGCGAAGGCGAUGUCACCAAUGGCUUCGAAGCAGUUCCAAGUCUUCUGCCAGCUGGUCACGUCAACUCCCACAGUUGUUCCUGUCAAGCUCGUCCUAGCGUGCUCCCCUCCUACAGCUUUGGCUAUCGAGAGGCUGAGGCCGAUGGUAGAGUACCCGAAAGACAUAACCGCGGCGACUGCGGAAAGCCACGAGAGCUCAUGGAAGUUUGGGAUUUGGCUUAAUAUGAUCUCUAUGAUGCCAAAGAUGAUCAUAAAGUUGUUGUUUUUGACAUGGCAGCCGACAUUCUGGCCAUCCUUGUGAAAGCAAUCUGAUCUUUUUAUUGCGCUGGUUAAUCAAAGGGUCCCUGCAACAAUCAGCCAGUAGCGUGGAUGUAAACCAAGUGAUGAUAGAGAAGAUUACAAGGGCAAUGGGACCAGCAAUCCACCCUAACUGAGCAAUGGCCCAUGAAAGAGAUAAGACCCCUGAGCCUAUGACUGCUGUUAUUAUAUGUGCACUUGCAGUCACCCAAGUUCCUGCAACAAAAAAACACAGGUUUUUAACUUAAAAAAUAAAAAUAAAAAAUAAAAAAACUGAUGAAAUUUGAAACCUCUCUUUGCAGAAGAAAAAAAAAAAACCCAGAGUUGGAUAUGGCUUGCCUGCUCUUUUUGAGCUACCAUCAUCACCAUAUCGGUUGCUAGCUUCCAGUUCCAUGGCAUGUAAAGAUUGAUCCUUGCUUUCUCUCUGUACUUGAAAGAUGUUAGAUUUGUGUCAAAUUAAAGCCAAACUCCUUAAAACUUUAACUCUCAACCUAGACUGUUACGAAUGGGAAGAUUCUCUCAAAUAAAUGUAAAAUCACCCUAUUUGGCAAUUCCAAACUAAGUUCCUUUAUUAUUCCAAUACCAACUCAGAAAAUUAAUCUAA